rnacentral:miRNA from 1 species
UGAUAAUGAUGAUGAUGAUGACGAUGAUGAGGAUGGUAGAGAAUAGCCAUGAUAUCAUCCGCAACCAUCAAUCUUCGUGCACUUUGAUACUCACCAUCAUCGUCGUCAUCAUCGUCG